UACAGAGGGUGCAAGCGUUAAUCGGAAUUACUGGGCGUAAAGCGCGCGUAGGUGGUUUGAUAAGUUGAAUGUGAAAUCCCCGGGCUCAACCUUGGAACGGCAUCCAAAACUGGCAAGCUAGAGUAUGGUAGAGGGUGGUGGAAUUUCCUGUGUAGCGGUGAAAUGCGUAGAUAUAGGAAGGAACACCAGUGGCGAAGGCGACCACCUGGACUGAUACUGACACUGAGGUGCGAAAGCGUGGGGAGCAAAUAGG
rnacentral:rRNA from 1 species